GCUGGUUCUCCUCGAAAUAGCUUUAGGGCUAGCCUCGGUGUGAGUCUUGCGGAGGUAGAGCACUGAAUUUCCUAGGGGGCGUCAAAGCCUACCGAAGAAUAUCAAACUCCGAAUGCCGUGUAGAUAUCACCGGGAGUCAGACUGCACGAGAUAAGUUGGGCGGUCAAAAGGGAAAGAGCCCAGACCUACAGUUAAGGUCCCAAAGUGCGCGUUAAGUGGAAAAGGAUGUGGGAUUUCGAAGACAACCAGGAUGUUGGCUCAGAAGCAGCCAUACAUUCAAAGAGUGCGUAAUAGCUCACUGGUCGAGAGGUCCUGCGCCGAAAAUGUCCGGGGCUGAAACGCGCCACCGAAACUAAGGAAUCUGAAAAGAUUGGUAGAGGAGCAUUGCAUGCGGGAAGAAGCAGUACCGGAAGGAGCUGUGGACUGCAUGGAAGAGAGAAUGCCGGAAUGAGUAGCGAGAUAGAGGUGGGAAUCCUCUAGGCCGAAUAUCCAAGGUUUCCAGGGUAAAGCUGAUCUGCCCUGGGUGAGUCGGGACCUAAGGUGAGGGCGAGAGCCGUAGCCGAUGGACAACAGGUUGAUAUUCCUGUACUGCAGUAUGACAGAACUGUGGGGACACGUAAGGAGAGCGGGAGCCGGGAAUGGAAAGCCCGGUACAAGCGAGGUACCAGUCACAUAGGAAAAUCCGUGUGGCAAUGGGAAGACGUGAUGUGGAGCGAAGAUUAGUAGCGAAGCCCGUGAGCCAUGCGUCAAGAAAAGCCGCUAUCGUUCAUAUUGUACCCGUACCGUAAACCGACACAGGUGGAUGAGGAGAGAAUCCUAAGGCCGGCGGAAGAAGUAUUGCCAAGGAACUCGGCAAAAUGGCCCCGUAACUUAGGGAGAAGGGGUGCCUGCGAGAGCAGGCCGCAGAGAAUAGGCUCAAGCAACUGUUUAGCAAAAACACAGGUCUAUGCGAAACCGAAAGGUGAGGUAUAUGGGCUGACGCCUGCCCGGUGCUGGAAGGUUAAGAGGAGAGGUCAGACGUAAGUCGAAGCUUUGAAUUUAAGCCCCAGUAAACGGCGGCCGUAACUAUAACGGUCCUAAGGUAGCGAAAUUCCUUGUCGGGUAAGUUCCGACCCGCACGAAAGGCGUAAUGAUUUGAGCGCUGUCUCGGCAAUACAUCCGGUGAAAUUGAAGUGCCAGUGAAGAUGCUGGCUACCCGCGCCAGGACGGAAAGACCCCAUGGAGCUUUACUCCAGUUUGGCACUGGGGUCCGGUGUUGCAUGUACAGGAUAGGUGGGAGGCUGAGAAACGGUAACGUCAGUUGCCGCGGAGCCGCUGUUGGGAUACCACCCUUGUGAUAUUGGGCUUCUAACCAGCCGCCGUAAUCCGGCGGUGGGACAAUGCCAGGCGGGGAGU
rnacentral:rRNA from 1 species